ACGAGGAAGAUAUUUUCAUCUCAAACUCAUCAACUUACUAUGAUAAGCCAAUUGAGUGCCAACUGUUUGGUAAUAACUUUCAAAAAGACCACUCGAUUAAUGGUAUACAUCUAAGCAUUACGACAGAAACACUCUUCUGGAUUGGUGGGAGGAUUGAAUUCAAGAAUAAAUAUAAUCCUUUAGGAAGUAAGGCACAUUUAGAUUGUGAAAAAGAGUCCAGUAGCAAAACGAUAACUGUAGAGGACUGUGCCAACAAAUGCAUAGAUAAAAAAUACUUUGCUUCUAACAACAAAUCUUGCACUUGCUUAGAGGUUACAGGUGACUUAAAACCGGGACCAUUUGUAAGAAUAGCCAAUGGCGGUUGCCGAAAACGUGUGUUUUGCACUCAUUUUAAGUGUAAUUUGUACGAAAGG